rnacentral:lncRNA from 10 species
UGGAGUUAAAACUGGCUCUUCCUUUAUGAAGUCAGGGUCAAAAUUACUGACAUCUUCUCGGGAUUUCUGCCAAAAAAAAAAGGGAAACAAGGGUGAGAUUUUUGCGCUUGAGGCUUACUCAUCUUGCAUGGGAUAUAGCCCAUUCCAGUGAGUUCAGAGGAGUGCUCUGUAGCUUGUUCAGUAGCAUUAUUUACAGUUAUUGUUAUGAUGAAACUGUGCUUUACAGCAAGUCUACUGCAUGGUGCAUUAUUAUGGCAUUUGGCAACCACCAAUUCACUAAUCCCAUGAAAAUCUUGCUGAGCAGGCCUGUCUUAAUGGGAGGCUAAGAAUUAAUUUGGUCAUCCAAAAGCAGCUGGCUCACUCACCCUUUAUUCUCAUUUCACCAAGGUGGCAUUUCACAGCAGGCCUCGCUGAGGGGUGUGCAGCUGUAUUUGUCAACAGAGGUUGGGUAGGUUCACACUUGUCCUACCUAUUGUUUGCGCAGAGUUCUAGACAUUUGAAGAGAUCUUCCCAAAAGAUUUCUUGCAAGUGCUGAGCUUAGGGAACAACUGUUGGUCAUUUUACUCUCUAGGUAGAUGCGUUACGCCCUGCUGGACCAGCUGUGCAGUUAGGACUACAGGCUCCAGCCUCUGAAGGCCAUGCUCUCCCUAAUCCCAGGGGCGCUGGCAGGGGGCUGACCAUUGAAGGAACGGCUUUACCUCUGGGUGCCUGGUGUCCAACAGCCUAGUAGGCUGUUAGUGAUUAAGUGCACUGUAUGUUUUUAAAAGUUGAGUAUUUUAUAUCUGUAUAAACAAACGCUGCAAAGAUCAUUUCUAAGUGAGUAUCACACAUCUCACUGCUCUUACCUUAAUCAAUGAUAUUUCUCUAUCACUUUUUUUUUUUUUUUUUUGAGACAAAGUCUAACUCAGUUGCCCAGGCUGGAGCGCAUGACGCAAUCUCGGCUCACUGCAAUCUCCACCUCCUAGGUUCAAGCAAUCCUUCUACUUCAGCCUCCUGAGUAGCAGGGAUUAGAGGUGUGCAUCACCACACCAGGCUUUUUUUUUUUGUAUUUUUAGUAGAGAUGGGGUUUUGCCAUGUUGGCCAGGCUAGUCUCAAACUCCUGACCUCAAGUGAUCCAUCUGCCUCGGCCUCCCAAAGUGCUGGGAUUAUAGGCAUGAGCCACCACGCCAGGUCUCCCCAUCACUCUUGAUCUAUCGCUAGCCUUGCUUCUCUGCCUUCCUCCUGUGGAGCUCUUGACCCACAGAUGAGCACGAGCUCAGCUCUCAGACCACAAGCGGGACCACGCUCAGGAAGGCCACCAGCCUCAGCUGCAGAGCUUGGAGAGGAGCCCCUGGAGAUCCCAGUAUUUCUUUGGUCAAAGAAGCCUGGCCUGGCCUGGGCUCUGCACUGCAGCAGCUAUUACAGACCCAGGCUCUCCAAGCCAAGAGGCCAGGCUCAGUGAAGUGAGCAACAUCUCCUACCCACUCUGCUUUCUCAGGGGCUUAGAAAAGGCACAAAAAGUGCCCCAAGGAGCAUGAGGAAAUUGGCCAGAACAAUGACUUUCUCAAUUAGCCAAACUCUUUUGGGGAAACCUGGAAAGUUUCAGGCCUCUUAUACCCUACAAGAUUUUAAUUUAGGUUGAGAGAAGUUGGAGAUUGGGUAAACGAGGGGUGAAACUUGGUAAGAAUUAAUGUGGGCACAUGAAGACAUUGUUGUCCCAUGGACAAGGAGCCCAGAUUCCCCCCAGGGGAGGCUGCCCUGUGCAGUAUCCAGCUGAAUUUCUGGUCUGUCACCCACAGGGGCCAUCCAGCUCUUCUACGGACUUUGGUGGAAUGCUGUGACAUCUGAAGAAAGGAAUGUCUCUGUGACAGCCUGGGACACUUACGAUUCUGGGUCUGAAAGGAUGUCUCAAGAUGGCGUGCUCGCCUCCCUGAGUCAGGCUGCCCAAGCGCAUGGUGGGGUUCUUGGUCAUGAACUGAGUGAGAGAGAGAGAAAGUGUCAAUCAUUCAUUCACAUACAACCAGCACGUCACAAGACAGCAGGCAUCAGCCAUGGCAGAGGAGCUGUGCGAGACUUUCUGGCAGGUCUUGCUUAACUAGCUGGGUUUUCCAUCACAGGCAGCACAGUCAGUAUGAAUCAUGCCUUAAAGGCGCGAUUGCCUGUGUGGAUUUAUGGCUUUUCCCACUUCCAUUUCAGACAUGGCCACUAAAAGAAAGCAGGAGGGUCCAGUUUUCUUUUCUGUAAACACCAUGUAUUUUUCUUUCCUCUUUAAAGAAAAGAAGCUCUUUAUAACAGUGUGCCUUUCCCCAACACUGCAGUUGUGGGCAGCAGACAUCUUAUGAAUGGGGCUACUUUCAGAAACAGCUGUGCCAUUUUUCUGAGUGACCUGACCAGCUGGCCAGGAUUCCUGCUCUCUGACGAGACCACAGAGAGGAGAGAGAGUCGUUAUUUUUGAAGAUCUGUGUGAAGAAGCAGCAAAGGUGACAUACUGAAAAGGUCUGUGUCCUGGCUCUAGAAAAAACAAAGUUGGCCACUUUUCUUUAUGCAGCGAAGAUAUCAUAGCUCUAGAUGAAAGGCUUUUCUUCAAGAUGUUCCCCCCACCACUGCUGUUUCGAAGUAGGUUCAAUGACUGAGAUUCCAUUGCUCCAUAGACCAAAAACUAAAACGAGCGCUGCCACACAGCUAAGCGAUGUGUGCAUAGAGAUUCUCUGUAUUUCCAUCAGUUGGGAAACUUCCUUAGUGCUGGGCUCCUAUCAAAAUAUGCUGGGCUAAAUCUGCUUUCACAAAAUAGCCAGGAAAGGUGUUUUGAUCACUUCCUGAGCAAGGAUUAGUACAGGAUAAUUCACUUUUCAUGGCCGGAGUGUGGUUCUCAAUUUCAAAGACACUGAAGCUAAUUUAAUUUCCCAUAUUGAAAGAAAAUUGCCUUGGAUAAAAAGUUUUGUUUUUGUUUUUAUUUAAAUCAGGUUAUCUUUAAAUAGACUCAUGACAGUCCCCAAGCACCUCUUUCCAAAUCUGAUUUGUGAACAACACAAAAGUAAUGCUGUGUUUAUAAAAAUUGUUUUGGAGCUGAAUUUACAGAGAAAAUCUUGUUGAAGGUGCAGACACGGAAAGACAGUGUUUGGAGGUACCUCCCACUGCCAUGCCAGGUGUCCAGAGGUGUCAAGCUGCCAGUGUUGAUUCAAAUGAAAAUGAUAAUGUUGAAGAAGGAGGCUGCAAAAGUUCCUAAGCAACCUGACGGGAUAUACCUUGUAAAAUGCUUUCAAAAAAGCUUCAAAGGGCAGCUAAUAAAUGAAUAUACUGACAGGGUUUAAUCGCUUCUCCUCUCUCCUAGUAACAGGAAUUAAAGGCCACAGGUGGUUCUGGGUUGGAGGCAGGACCCAAAAGUAAAUGCAGCAUUCAGAGCUGCACAGGCCCAGUCAGAGCAGCUGCCACUUCAGGCACUUACAGUGGUCACCCAGGAUUCAGGAGAUGCAUAUUAUAAGUAACUCAGUUCUGUAAGAGCUAGGAGUUAGUUCACACUGCUUGGGCUCUCACUAAGUAAGCCUGUGCAAUGCAGGCAGGAAGGGAGAAAAUGCUUACAAAAAAGAAAUGAGUAGAUUCUUGCCUUAGGAAAGUCAACGGGAUACAAUUCCUGAUGGAAGAGCAGUUGCUAUUCUAAGAGCUAAUUAACAAGAAACAAUGCUGCAAAAAACUUGGGAGACAGGACGGCAGAACACACCCAGAUGGCCUGUGGGAAAUUCCCAGGCCUGCCAAUGAUGUGAGAGAGGACAUCUUGUGAAUGGGUGGGUACAGCCUGUUCUUCUGGGCAAGACAAACAGUGCAGGACUCUAUAUGCCAGGGUGGCUGAAGCCCCAGUGUCCAAGAGGCUUGCCCAUUCCUCCCUGCCCCUGGCACUGAACCCAAGCUUCCAUGGGGCACUGUGGAAGAGGCCUUGCCUGACGACAAGUAGACCAAACACGACCGUCCGUCCUCUAAAAACUGCACCCUUGGAAUUGGGGACAGGCAGAAUAACCCUUUCACUAGCUUGAUACUUAGCCUCUUGGGGUUCUGAUAAAUCCUUUUGAAUAACCAAGCAGUUUUGUUUUUAAUACCUUGGCCUGAGCCCUUUAGAUGCAGCCAUCCUCAACUUACAAAAAAAACAAACCAAAAGAAAAAACAAAACACACACACACACAAACAAACUUUGAUUCAAUUGACAAAGGUUUUCAAGGUGUCUACUACAUGUAAGGCAGCACACUAGGGGUUUCUUGGGGAUACGCAGAUGACAAAGACAGUGUCUCUUCAUCCAGGAGCUAAUCAAGAGAAGGGGGAAGAAUCAAGCAAACUUCAUAAUACACAGCCGGAUGAAAUGAAAAGAGACUUAGAUCAAGUGCUGUGAGAGCUUGGAAGAGGCACGGGGCAAAUAACACUGGGGCUGGUGGUGGGAAGGCAAGUGACAGCCUCGUGGAAGAGGUGGCAUUUGACCAGAGAUGAGGACGAACAGAAUUAACAUAGUAGGCAUGAAGGAAGAAAAUGCGCCUGAGGACACAGCCAGCACAAAUGCAGAGGCAUACAAGUGCCUGGUACAGCUGGCAUGCAGGGAUGGCUGAGGAACUGCGGGGGCAGCCGGUGGGAUCCAUCCGAGGUGAGUGAUGAGAGCUGCACGGCAAUUUAGGGGAUGACACUAGCCACAGCGUGAUGAAUAAAUCUUAAAUGCAGAGGUAGCGCCUGGUGGUGAGCAGUUAGAGGCUGAGACAAUAGCUGAGAACACAUGACAAGUUCAGCAACUAGGAGAGUUUCUAGUUAAUUGGAAGGAAGAGUUGGAAGCACAUUCUAGAGGGCCGUGGAAGAAUAAACACAAUCCACUAACUGCCGGGAAUGGGAGUGAAGAGUCCAAGAUCACAGGGUCCUCCCUGGCUGCCUGAUGGGGCAGUGGUGUUGAGUAACAGAAAUGGAACAAAAGAGGGGCAAGAGAUUAUUCUUUGUAGCAUGAGUAUUAGUAGCAGUGUUAGUAGUAGUAGUAUUUUUGUUAGUGGAACAAAGACAAAAAUAGCUCACACUUACUGAGAUCCUACAGUCUGCCAAAUCUGGGAGGCUGAUGGGCUCCGCUUUGCAUUGGAGGUGUGUG